rnacentral:lncRNA from 1 species
AAACCGGCACAACCUCUUACGGCUUGCACAAAAGUUCUUUAUUUGCUAUUCCAAAUAAAAUAUUUGUUAUUUUUUAUAACUCUUUCAUUUAAUAAAAAGUAAAGAAUUAUAAUUCAAAUAAAAAAUAAUAUCCUAUUUUAUAAAAAUAUAUUUUUAUAAUUUUUUAUUUGCUAUUUUUAUAAAAAUAUUUUAUAAAAAAUAAAGAAUAC